rnacentral:rRNA from 1 species
AACGAACGCUGGCGGCAUGCCUAACACAUGCAAGUCGAACGAGAUCUUCGGGUCUAGUGGCGCACGGGUGCGUAACGCGUGGGAAUCUGCCCCUUGGUUCGGAAUAACAGUUGGAAACGACUGCUAAUACCGGAUGAUGACGAAAGUCCCAAGAUUUAUCGCCAGAGGAUGAGCCCGCGUAGGAUUAGCUAGUUGGUGUGGUAAAGGCGCACCAAGGCGACGAUCCUUAGCUGGUCUGAGAGGAUGAUCAGCCACACUGGGACUGAGACACGGCCCAGACUCCUACGGGAGGCAGCAGUGGGGAAUAUUGGACAAUGGGCGAAAGCCUGAUCCAGCAAUGCCGCGUGAGUGAUGAAGGCCUUAGGGUUGUAAAGCUCUUUUACCCGGGAUGAUAAUGACAGUACCGGGAGAAUAAGCUCCGGCUAACUCCGUGCCAGCAGCCGCCGCAG